rnacentral:rRNA from 1 species
AUUGAACGCUAACGGCGUGCUUAACACAUGCAAGUCGAGCGGCAGCAUGACUGUAGCAAUACAGUUGAUGGCGAGCGGCGGACGGGUGAGUAAUGCAUAGGAAUCUGCCUUGUAGUGGGGGAUAACCCGGGGAAACUCGGGCUAAUACCGCAUAAUCUCUACGGAGCAAAGUGGGGGACCUUCGGGCCCUACGCUAAAAGAUGAGCCUAUGUUGGAUUAGCUAGUUGGUAGGGUAAAGGCCUACCAAGGCAACGAUCCAUAGCUGGUCUGAGAGGAUGAUCAGCCACACUGGGACUGAGACACGGCCCAGACUCCUACGGGAGGCAGCAGUGGGGAAUAUUGGACAAUGGGCGAAAGCCUGAUCCAGCAACGCCGUGUGUGUGAAGAAGGCCUUCGGGUUGUAAAGCACUUUCAGUGGGGAAGAAAAGUUCAUGGCUAAUAUCCAUGAAUGCUGACGUUACCCACAAAAAAAGCACUGGCUAACUCUGUGCCAGCAGCCGCAGUAA